rnacentral:piRNA from 1 species
UCCUUCAGGUUUUGCCACUUUGCUGGAGA